CAGGACAUCACCUGUCCAAUUGUCAUUACCAUUCACGCCACUGCCUACUUUUGUGACACAGAGUUGUUCCUUGUGAGGCACCAUGAACAGAAAAUAAACCCAGAGGGAGGAAUUGAAUGGUUUGAGAAAGACUAAGAACAUUUCGCUGUGAAGUAUUGUUGCCAGUCAACAAGGCAGGUAGUUUGGUGGACAACCUAAGGGGGGAAUGAACAUUUGCUCUUCCUCUCUCCAUAAUCCCUUUGCUGAUGUUGUGUGUCUCAUAAAUCUUCUGCUUAUUCUCCAAACCAAACAGCAUACAGAGAUCUGGGUUCCUGUGGAAGAAGACUUUCACCAGAGUACACAGCAAGAGUCCCUUUAAACUUCAAUCCUUGGCUGUUGUAGGUAUACUUCAGGACUUGUUGUCAAAAUACCAAUAAUCAAGAGAAGGUGUCACAAUCUUAGUAGUAGUAAUUAUCUUGAUCAUCAUAAAGAGAUAGAAAUGUUAUGCAGUGAGGUCAGAAAACAACAUGCUUGAUACUCAUGUCCUCCCUGAGAUAUCUCUUGGCAUUUUCUUACCCAAUUUUAUUGUUUAAUGCUCAUGUACAGUAGACUGAGGGAAGCAUGAAGACCUGGAGUUCAAACCCCCUUGGGAGUGAAUAACUUCUUGGUCAACUUACGAAUAAGACCCUAAGCCAGUGAAGAUCCUUGUUAAAAUUGACGGGAAUCUAGAACUGGUUUUAAGCAAAUUAUGUCUUCAAGACCAGCUACAGUGGUGAUGUUGAAGUUUUUUCCACUAAACUUCCUGUUGCAAUUUACCCCAAGAAAUAUGACCAGUGCAAAUCUUGAAUGAAGAGUUUCUAAAAUGUAUUACAUAAAGUAUGUGGAGCUGAAGAAAGCAAAAGGUUGGACCCAGGAGUAGUUCAGAGCUCACCCACCAAGCCAUUUAACCUGAGGAGCUGGAGAGAAUGUUCUGUCUCAAGGAAUAUUUGCUAGCCUUUUAGC
rnacentral:lncRNA from 10 species